UACGAAGGGGGCUAGCGUUGCUCGGAAUCACUGGGCGUAAAGGGUGCGUAGGCGGGUUUUAAGUCAGAGGUGAAAUCCUGGAGCUCAACUCCAGAACUGCCUUUGAUACUGAAAGUCUUGAGUAUGGGAGAGGUGAGUGGAACUGCGAGUGUAGAGGUGAAAUUCGUAGAUAUUCGCAAAGAACACCAGUGGCGAAGGCGGCAUCACUGGCCCGGUACUGACGCUGAGGUGCGAAAGCGUGGGGAGCAACAGG
rnacentral:rRNA from 1 species